AUUGAACGCUGGCGGCAUGCCUAACACAUGCAAGUCGAACGGUAACAGCAGAGCUUGCUCUGGCUGACGAGUGGCGGACGGGUGAGUAAUAAAUAGGAAUCUGCCUAGUAGUGGGGGACAACGUGGUGAAAACCACGCUAAUACCGCAUACGCCCUACGGGGGAAAGCGGAGGAUCUUCGGACUUCGCGCUAUUAGAUGAGCCUAUUUCUGAUUAGCUUGUUGGUGAGGUAAUGGCUCACCAAGGCGACGAUCAGUGGCUGGUUUGAGAGAAUGAUCAGCCACACUGGGACUGAGACACGGCCCAG
rnacentral:rRNA from 1 species